AGGAAUAUUGGUCAGUGGCCGAGAGGCUGAACCAGCCAAGUCGCGUGAGGGAUGAAGGUUUAUGGAUCGUAAACCUCUUUUAUAAGGGAAUAAGUGCGGGACGUGUCCCGUUUUGUAUGUACCUUAUGAAUAAGGAUCGGCUAACUCCGUGCCAGCAGCCGCGGUAAUACGGAGGAUCCGAGCGUUAUCCGGAUUUAUUGGGUUUAAAGGGUGCGUAGGCGGCCUUUUAAGUCAGCGGUGAAAGUCUGUGGCUCAACCAUAGAAUUGCCGUUGAAACUGGGGGGCUUGAGUAUGUUUGAGGCAGGCGGAAUGCGUG
rnacentral:rRNA from 1 species